rnacentral:rRNA from 1 species
CUCCGGGUGAUCCUGCCGGACCCGACUGCUAUCAGAGUGGGACUAAGCCAUGCGAGUCAACAUAGCAAUAUGUGGCAUACGGCUCAGUAACACGUAGUCAACAUGCCCAGGGGACGUGGAUAACCUCGGGAAACUGAGGAUAAACCGCGAUAGGUCAUCACUUCUGGAAUGGGUAAUGACUUAAAUCUAUAUGGCCCCUGGAUUGGACUGCGGCCGAUCAGGCUGUUGGUGAGGUAAUGGCCCACCAAACCUGUAACCGGUACGGGCUCUGAGAGGAGGAGCCCGGAGAUGGGCACUGAGACAAGGGCCCAGGCCCUAUGGGGCGCAGCAGGCGCGAAACCUCUGCAAUAGGCGAAAGCUUGACAGGGUUACUCUGAGUGAUUUCCGUUAAGGAGAUCUUUUGGCACCUCUAAAAAUGGUGCAGAAUAAGGGGUGGGCAAGUCUGGUGUCAGCCGCCGCGGUAAUACCAGCACCCCGAGUGGUCGGGACGUUUAUUGGGCCUAAAGCAUCCGUAGCCGGUUCUACAAGUCUUCCGUUAAAUCCACCUGCUUAACAGAUGGGCUGCGGAAGAUACUAUAGAGCUAGGAGGCGGGAGAGGCAAGCGGUACUCGAUGGGUAGGGGUAAAAUCCGUUGAUCCAUUGAAGACCACCAGUGGCGAAGGCGGCUUGCCAGAACGCGCUCGACGGUGAGGGAUGAAAGCUGGGGGAGCAAACCGGAUUAGAUACCCGGGUAGUCCCAGCUGUAAACGAUGCAGACUCGGUGAUGAGUUGGCUUAUUGCUAACUCAGUGCCGCAGGGAAGCCGUUAAGUUUGCCGCCUGGGGAGUACGGUCGCAAGACUGAAACUUAAAGGAAAUGGCGGGGGGAGCA